AUGCUCUCAAAACAUAAUCCAAACAAUUCGUCUGGGAUGGAGUAGUAAAAUAAAUUUUAGUAAUUUACAGCGUUAUUGGUACUACUCUGAGCACGACUAGUAAAUCGCAUCUAAGAGAAAAUUAUAUUUCUCCAACAAUGAGUUUGAAGAAAAUGAACGGGCGAAUAACGGAUUUGGAGACGUUACAGUUAAUGAAUUUAAUUCAUUCACAAAAUCCUUAGAAACUUAAUAAUGUCUAAUUCACAUACACUUAAUUCAUACAGUGGAUUAUACCUAUAUUUUCAAAACUGAAAUAUAUGAUGGACCACAUACAAGGAGCUAGGAGGUCAAUAAUAUAUGCUGACAAUUUUUCAAACAUUCACUUUCAUGAAGAUAAUUCUACCGUUUUAGAUGAAGCCAUACAAUAUUGGAAUGAAUUAUGAA